rnacentral:rRNA from 1 species
GGAAUUUUCGGCAAUGGGCGAAAGCCUGACCGAGCAACGCCGCGUGAGGGAGGAAGUCCUUCGGGAUGUAAACCUCUGUUAUAAAGGAAGAACGGUAACUGCAGGGAAUGGCAGUUAAGUGACGGUACUUUAUGAGGAAGCCACGGCUAACUACGUGCCAGCAGCCGCGGUAAUACGUAGGGAGCGAGCGUUAUCCGGAAUUAUUGGGCGUAAAGGGUGCGUAGAUGGCACAAAAAGUCUUGUGUAAAAAUGCUAGGCUCAACCUAGUAGAGCAAAAGAUACUUUUGAGCUAGAGUAUGGCAGAGGCAAGUGGAACUACAUGUGUAGCGGUAAAAUGCGUAAAUAUAUGUAAGAACACCAGUGGCGAAGGCGGCUUGCUGGGCCGAUACUGACAUUGAGGCACGAAAGCGUGGGGAGCAAACAG